rnacentral:ncRNA from 1 species
UUCCCGUGAACUAGGAUUCCCAGUAAGCGCGAGUCAUAAGCUCGCGUUGAUUACGUCCUGCCCUUUGUACACACCGCCCGUCGCUACUACCGAUCGAACGAUUUAGUGAGGUCUUUGGACUCGUGCGCGGUGUUUCGCUCGCGUUCGCGCGCGCGCGAUCCUUCGCAGUCGCGAGGAAGACGACCGAACUUAAUCGUUUAGAGGAAGUAAAAGUCGUAACAAGGUUUCCGUAGGUGAACCUGCGGAAGGAUCAUUA